rnacentral:rRNA from 1 species
AGGAUCAUUACUGAGUUGCUGACAGAGUUGUUGCUGGUCCUCUCAAAUGGGGGACAUGUGCACACUCUGUCUGUAUAUCCACUCACACCUGUGCACCCUCUGUAGUUCUAUGGCCUGGGGGAUUUCCGUCCUCCUUCUGUGGUUCUGCAUCUCUACACACACACACUGUAUCAAAGUCUCAUGGAAUGUAUGCCGCGAUUAUAACGCAAUGCAAUACAACUUUCAGCAACGGAUCUCUUGGCUCUCGCAUCGAUGAAGAACGCAGCGAAAUGCGAUAAGUAAUGUGAAUUGCAGAAUUCAGUGAAUCAUCGAAUCUUUGAACGCACCUUGCGCCCUUUGGCCAUUCCGAAGGGCAUGCCUGUUUGAGUAUCAUGAACAUCUCAACUCUCAUGGUUUUUCCAUGAUGAGCUUGGACUUUGGGGGUCUUGCUGGCCUGCGGUCGGCUCCUCUCAAAUGCAUCAGCUUACCAGUGUUUGGUGGCAUCGCAGGUGUGAUAACUAUCUACGCUCGUGAUUUUCCACCAGGUGACCUUCAGAAAUGGAGGCUCACUGGAGCUCAUAGUCGUCUCUCCUCAGUGAGGACAGCUCUUUGAAUGUUUGAUCUCAAAUCAGGUAGGAUUACCCGCUGAACUUAA